AUGGCUCAGGACUGAACGCUAGCGAUAGGCUUAACACAUGCAAGUCGAGGGGCAGCACGGUGUAGCAAUACACUGGUGGCGACCGGCGUACGGGUGCGUAACACGUAUGCAACCUACCCGCUAUUGGGGGAUAACCCGGCGAAAGUCGGACUAAUAUCCCAUAUUAUUCUUACCGGGCAUCCGGUGAGUCUGAAAGAUUUAUCGAUUGCGGAUGGGCAUGCGGAUGAUUAGCUAGUAGGUGGGGUAACGGCUCACCUAGGCGACGAUCAUUAGGGGGUUCUGAGAGGAAGGUCCCCCCACACUGGGAACUGAGACACGGUCCAGACUCCUACGGGAGGCAGCAGUGAGGAAUAUUGGUCAAUGGGCGCUAGCCUGAACCAGCCAAGUCGCGUGAAGGAUGAACCAGAUCUAUGGUUUGUAAACUUCUUUUGCAGGGGAGUAAAGUGCGACACGUGUGUUGUAUUGCAAGUACCCUGCGAAUAAGCAUCGGCUAACUCCGUGCCAGCCGCCGC
rnacentral:rRNA from 1 species